GAGUUUGAUCUUGGCUCAGAUUGAACGCUGGCGGCAUGCCUUACACAUGCAAGUCGAACGGCAGCACGGGAGCUUGCUCCUGGUCCCCGGCGAGUGGCGAACGGGUGAGUAAUGCAUCGGAACGUAUCCUGGAGUGGGGGAUAACGUAGCGAAAGUUACGCUAAUACCGCAUAUUCUGUGAGCAGGAAAGCGGGGGACCUUCGGGCCUCGCGCUCUUGGAGCGGCCGAUGUCGGAUUAGCUAGUUGGUGAGGUAAAGGCUCACCAAGGCGACGAUCCGUAGCAGGUCUGAGAGGAUGAUCUGCCACACUGGAACUGAGACACGGUCCAGACUCCUACGGGAGGCAGCAGUGGGAAUUUUGGACAAUGGGGCAACCCUGAUCCAGCCAUGCCGCGUGAGUGAAGAAGGCCUUCGG
rnacentral:rRNA from 1 species